UGGGGAAUAUUGGACAAUGGGCGAAAGCCUGAUCCAGCCAUGCCGCGUGUGUGAAGAAGGUCUUCGGAUUGUAAAGCACUUUAAGUUGGGAGGAAGGGCAGUAAGCGAAUACCUUGCUGUUUUGACGUUACCGACAGAAUAAGCACCGGCUAACUCUGUGCCAGCAGCCGCGGGAAUACAGAGGGUGCAAGCGUUAAUCGGAAUUACUGGGCGUAAAGCGCGCGUAGGUGGUUCGUUAAGUUGAAUGUGAAAGCCCCGGGCUCAACCUGGGAACUGCAUCCAAAACUGGCGAGCUAGAGUAGGGCAGAGGGUGGUGGAAUUUCCUGUGUAGCGGUGAAAUGCGUAGAUAUAGGAAGGAACAACAGUGGCGAAGGCGACCACCUGGGCUCAUACUGACACUGAGGUGCGAAAGCGUGGGGAGCAAACAGG
rnacentral:rRNA from 1 species